ACACACUCGUCACACCUUCUCAGAGGAUUAAGCAAGGCAUAAAUAGGUCUCCUGUUAAUGAGCAUAGUGGUCGUACCUGUCCUGUGCAGGGAAGGACUUGGUAAAGGUGGGAUGCUGGACGUGAAGGGCUAACACACGGAUAAUAGCUGCUGGUGGAGAGCUAGAAAGAGUGGGGUUUUGACAUCAGAGGGGCUUGGGUUUGACUCUUGAGCCAGCCACUUCAGAGCUGCAUAAAUUUAGGUAAACUAUUUAGCGUCUUUGAAACAGGUAACUGUUUCCUCGUCUGUCAUGUGGGCCCUGCCAAUAGCCUACUGGGAGGAUUAAAUGAAAGCAAGCAGACCGGCACAGUGGACAGCACCCCGGGCGUCCUGGCCGUGGGCUGGCAUCCAGGAGACGAUGAUUUCCUCUUAGCGAGAAGGUCACUGUCUCUUGUCACUGAGGACACUUGCUCUCGGGGGAUACCCAGCAGUGAUUGUCUUGUCAGGCACCUGCUGGGUCACAUGGGGUGAGAGAUGUCCCCCGUCCCAACCUCCAUUGCCUCUUCCGUAGCACAGCGAUGAGGGUGUGGGCCUCGGUGAGCUGUAACAGAAGGAGGCAAGCUAAGACGUGGGGAGUAUCUGGCGCCAGACACAAAACGUGCUCAGUAACUGUUAGUUAUCGUCGUGUCUCUUCCUUGGCUAACGUGUGGGAUCAGAGGGGGUUUUAUGAACACGCAGAAGCAGAGACCACUUCAUAUGCUCUUGCCUCCAGAUGUCUGAUCCUGGAUUGUGCCUGGAUGUGGCCGCCUCUGUGGAACCAGGACUCCCAGCACAUUGUCUGCAAGAAAAAGGCUGCAUGUCCUGUCCUGUCUGCCCCGCUGACGGCCUCCCACCUCCCUCCGAGCUCCUGAGCCCUGCGAGGAUCCUGGCUUUCCACAAAGAGCUUAGACAAAGCAUUUGCAGCAAUUCCCAGGUCAAUAAAUCACCGCUGGGGUUAUAAAUUUAAUAGGAUCGCUCGCUCUCCGGGGCCAUUUCAUAGACUCCAUAAAUAUUUGAAGCAGAGCCUUCAGCGAGCACUUUAAGAAAUUGGUAGCAAUCAAAGCCCUCAUUCAGCGGUAAGUGGUUUUGCCUUUGGCUCGAGGUUUUGUGUGGGUUGUCUGAACCCGGGAGAAAAACAGGACCAUGCCCUGCAAAUUCUGAGCAGCUUGGUUUUGGCAAAUGUGAAGGCAGCAAAGGGAGUAUUAUUUGCUGUACCAAAACUUACUGAGUGACGGCCCAGUGGUUCUGAAGUGGGGGUGACUUUGCCGCCCCAGGCCCAAUUUUGGCGAUGCCUGGAGACAUUUUUUGUUGUCACAACGGGGAAGCUACUCCCGGCAUCUAAUGGGUAGAAGCCAGGGAUGCUGCUAACCAUCCCACAACGAAUGCACAGGACGGCUCCCUAGAACAAAGAAUUAUCCAGCCCUACUGUCAGCGUGCAGGCUGGGCGGUCCAGGACUGGUCUCAUAGCUCCUAGCAUUGUCAGCCAUGGAGAACUGUUUGCUUAUUUUCCUGAGCCUGGGACCCCUCCCCAUAUUUGAAAAGAUUUUUGUCUACCAAAUGAAAUGCUUGGUUUAAGUAAUUCUAUAUUUUAAAUUUUAAAACAUUAAAACCAAUCAGAACUUUCUAAUCUGUCCAUUUAUUCAAUAUUUGUUGACACCCAUUAUAUGCCAGGCAAUAUGGUGUGAGGGCAAAAGACAUAAGUCAACACUGGUCCCUGCCCCAGGGACUUUGCGGGACCAUGGGAGAGACACAAACUAUGUAGACAAAUCACUCUGUAGUCGGUCAUACGUGUGCCAUGAAAUGCGUGCUGAAGGGAAGGGCCAGCUCUACCUGGCUUCGGGGAACGGGAGGCCGUUUAGGAAGGACUGGCUGCUGAGAAGAUCCCCGAGGCCCAGUGAGGUGAGGUGGGGAAGGGUGUUACAGUCAGAGGGAACAGCAUGUGCAAAGGCUCGGAGGCAUGAAACUAAACUUUGGGUGUGCCAUCGGAGGAGUGUGUAAAGAAAGCGGCCCCCUGCUAAGCCAGCUGCCAUGGUUCACUGCCUCAUCCCCACCCGGCACUCCACUUCCUCCGAGACCCAAGGGUGGAAGAAGAGUGUCUCCAUCCUGAGGGCAAGACACCCAGAAAAAGAGUCAAGGGGGCUUGGGCCACAUCUGCCCAGGCUCUGUCCCCAGGCUCACCAAUCAGAGACAUCCCCUCUCUCCUUGGGAGCGGGCUGGUGAAAGGCUUGGGGGCAAGGUCAGUAACCGUCCCAACUCUGUUCCCUUCUGGAAGCGCUUGUCAUGUAAAGAGGAGGAAGUGCCAGGACAAGAAAUUGCAGUCCCCUCCCAGGAAGUAGGCAGAGCAUGUGGAUUUUAAAUUAAUGUAUUUAAGAUUUUUAUGUUGAAAUGAAAAGUGCAGAGUUCCCGUAUACCCUCACCCAGCUUCUCCAAAUGUUAACGUCUUAUAGACCUAACCAUAGCACAAUGACAGAAACAGAAGGAUUUAUUUUUAAGAGAACUGGGGGGCUAUCAAGACAUAAGAAAAACUGUGUGACCGAGUGAGCGUCAACGCGCUGAGCGGCUACCAUCUUAAUUAGCCUGUGGGACGGUGCAAUGGGUCAUCACAUCUAUCCCCGUACCCAUGGGUUGAUUUGCCAAUGGACUCAGCCAUCCGUUAGUUCAAGAAGCAUUUAGGGAUAACUGCCAACUGAGUGCUGGGUCCUCGGGUAGGUGCUGGGAGGCGGGAAUACAGAAGAUGCCCGUCUUUGUCCUCAAGGACCUGCUGGAAACCCUUUGGCCCUAUCACCACCGCUCAAGGAGUCCCCCUGUUGGAAACCACUGUUGUCAUCACUUUGACCAUUUCAGUCACCACAGCCGCCCUGUAAUUCCCAGUUGUGCAGCGUCCUGCAGAGCUGGUGGAUAACGUUGGUUUGUGAUCUCCUCUUUUGCUGCCCCCACCAUUUAUUUUGGGACAACGCAUUAACUUUGAGCAGCGGGAAUACGAUGAAGAUGAAGAGAGGAUGUGAACUGGGUGAAGUCAGGGUGGGCGGCCAGCGGAGCCUCCCUGCUGAGCCAGCAGCACGCACGUGGCGCCAGCUCCGGUCUCCAGGAUCCUGCCUCACUCACACCCUGGGCCUCAGCAUAGAGGCGACAGAGGAAAUCCAUUAAAGGAAGCCAAGGCAGUCGUUGCAGCAUAACCCGCUGACCAUAAUAAAUCAUGUUUCGAAGCCAGAAACCACUUAUUAACCCACACUGUGAAUUCCCGCCUGGGGCUAGCACUUUGGGUUGCCUCAAACUGGGUCAUUGCUUUGUGCUUUGAUUCCUUAGUGGCUCUUUUGAGAUGGUGGAUGGCAGACUCCAGCGUUUUUCUUGCCUUGGCUGUAGCCGCCAGCCCUCAGAAGAGGCCUCCUUGGUGGGCCUGACGCAGCCAGGGCCCAGCCUGGUCAGAUGCUCCCCAGACUGGGGGACGGCGGGCAGGACCUGCUCAUGCCACCAAGCAGGGCCAGGCAGGAUCUCAGCUUGCAGGAGCUGGUUCCAACCACCCCACGCUCCAGGAACGCCACUGUGAUGACCUGAGGUCUCUGGAGACCAGCCAGAUGGGCCAGCCCCGCCACAGUGGCAGAAAACAUUUGUCAAACCGCUGUCAGCAAGUAACAAUGGUGGCCUUCCCUGCGGGCGUCUGGCCAGGCUCUGCUGAGAUGGAGCCCUGAACCUGUGAGGCAGACACCCCGCCUGCACAGUGGCCAACACCCAGGCCUUCGCUUCUGAGCAGCGCGGCACGGACUGUGGGACCUGAACUCAGAGGCCUGUUCACUCACAUCCCAGACCCUCCACUUUGCCAGCUGUGGGCCUGGAGCCAAGGCUCCCGAAGGCUGGGGUUCUGCUGUAAAAGUGGGAAGAACCUCAUCAUAGCAUCACCCACCCUACCUCACUGGAGCCUUGAGGGUGACAAGCGCCCCGCCCCUGGCACUCCCGGCCCAGGAGCCCAUGGAGGACCUGGCCUUCUCCGUUCCUGUCCAUGCUGCACGCGGCCCUGCCAGCUGGCUUCCCCACGGCACUCAGUUAAAACAAAGGAAAGAAGACAGCACAGAGGCAAGCCCAUCCAGCUGGAAAAUAUUUACAUCCCUCUCAACUGAGCAAUGGAACAGAGGCAGCCCCAUGAUUUGCAAUCCCUUCCAGGGAGCUGAGUUACAAGCCAAAUGACCAUCUUUCUAUUUUAAGUCACUCAUGGCGGCGUCUCUCCUCUAAUACCAACUGGGCAGGCAACUCAAGAGAUGGCUGUGGACUGUCAGGAGCCUGUAUGCAUUGGCCUGGGAUGGUGGAAGGAACCUGGGGCUGGAGUCCCAAGGUCCUGGCUGGCUCAGCCACUCCUAAGCUGUGUCACUUUGCACAAAUUACCUACCUUCUUGAAGUUCCACUUCUGCAUCUGUUUGAGGUCCCUAACGCCUCCUUGAAGUUUUGUUCUGACAACCAAAUGAGCUCAUGGCUGCAAAAGUGCCCCGAAUGCUGUCAGAUGCGUCCCACGUGUCUGGGAUCUUGUUUAUAAAGCGUGAAUCCAUCUUCUCUCUUUCACGAUACUGACCAUCGCUCAGAAGCACACUCUGCCAGAAGUACUCAUUACACUUAAGUCCUUGUAGCUGCUACCCAAGAUGGGUGAUAUGGGGCAUGGCAGGAUAAUGGUUUUAAAAAACCUUAGCAGUCAUCAAGAUAGUAUAGAGCUCCUGUCUGUCCCAUGGGACAGAGCUCAGAGAGUUCUUAGCCCACAGCAGGCACAUAGGCAGCCCUCAGGCCAGAUCAGGCUCACAAACAUGUCUUGUUGGGCUUAACUUUUUUAAAAUCAUGGUAAAAUACAUAUAACGUCUAAUUUACCACCUUAACCAUUUUUAAAUCCCCAGGUCAGUGGCGUUAAGUAUAUUCUCAUUUCUGCGUGACCAGCACCACCGUCCAUCUCUGUGGCUUCACUCCAAGGCUCGGCUUUGUUUCUGGGUGUGGGUUGCCUCUGUAUCUGGGCCCUGUCCAUUACCCUGCCAGCCCCAGGCAGCGUGCUCCUCCUGGGACCCUGACCAUCACUCUCCACUGGUAUUUCUGUCUACCUGUGGUGCUUCUGUUACCACCGCCCUGUCCAGAGUCCUCAAGGGAGACCUCUGAGCUCCUUUGGGGCCAGUGAGGCACCCCUAGGGGGAGUAGUCCAUCCCACUGCACAUAGCAGGCCUGGUGUGGCCCCCGGCAGAGCCUUGCAGCUUACCUUCAGGCUUUGGAUGAAAUGGGAACGUGAAUGGAGAAGUGCUUUGUAAACUCUUACGUUCUGCAUGAACAUACAGGAUUUGACUUUCAUAGGCUAGAGCGCUGAGGGAAGCCCUGGUACGGGAGGUAGAGAUUAGGGCUAAAACCAGAAUCACUGUGCUGGAGUUAGGCACUGCAGCUUCUUAGCUCCGAGACCGUGGGAAAGUCGCUUCCUGCUUCAGUUUACUCACCUGGAAAUAAGGUAAUAAAAUACCUGCCCAGCCCCUGCUAUAAGCAUUAAGGGGUAAAGUGGAUGGGAAGGCACUUUGCAGACUUCAGUUUCGUGCAUAUGCUUUAUCCACAUCACCGAGUCAAUGCAUAUCUGUUAUGCACCUACUGUGUGUCGUUCUGAACGAUUUGGUCUAUCUUGUGACAGUUUGGAAAAGGACCCCAGGCUAAGGAAGAAAAGAAUUGCCUGUCAGAUGGUUGUACUGCGCACUCAUAGAUUAUGAUUAGCAACAGCCAGCGAGUUGGCAUGGCAACGUUCCCCACGAACUGCUAGGCAGUGUUCUUAAAAUAGGUUUGCCAGAGGUGUGAGGGGGCCACGACUCACACAGGCGGUGUGUCCGAGGCUUCUGCAGACCAAGGUGGCUGCACUGCCCUCCGUGUGCUCAGACUGGUCAAGCCACUGCCCUUCCCAAGCAGGCCAGGGGCACAGUCAUUAAGACAACAGAUCCAGAGGCAUCCGUCAUUAGAGCUGGAGACUUUAUCUACGAUAAACACUCGCGCCUUUCCCCAUUUUACAGGUGGGGAAACUGGAGCCCAGAGAGGUUAAGUGGCACACGUGUAGUCACACAGCUCUUGACGGCAGUUGGGACUGAAUUGGUUCUGAUGUUAUUCAUGGAAGGUUCUCCCCUGUGCCACAAUGCACGCUCUUCUCAUCUGGAAUUCUAGGUCUGGGCCUGAUGCAAUUCAUUUUCUAAUGGGUUACAAUCCACAUGGCAUCACUUAGCAACAGGAAUUAGAUCAAGGAAUUCUCUCCACGCCCCUAUUUCCCCCCAGGAAGCCCUGAGUCCCAAGCUGUCAUGGAGGCUCACCUUGUUCUUGGCAUGGCUGAGAUGACUGUGGUUUCCAUCCACCCCUCCACAGCCUCCCUAUCCUUGUUUCCCAGUGUGAAAUUCAGGCAGCCAAGCUGAUCAACAGUUUACCAAUCGCUUUGCAAUCAGAUUAUUGGAUGAGUUCAGUUACCCAUUAUCGCAGAGGAGUGGGAACCCAAAUCCUUUAAAAGAUGAGUUCCUGUCUUACUAUCUGUGUUGCUCAGCGAUGUAGUGAAUAAACUUCACAGACUGGAGGGGGAGAUUUUUACCUUCAGGCAGGUGCGUUUCUGCUAAGAGAUCACAGCUCUUGUUUAAUUCCAGGGUGAAAUUCCAGGUCUGGAAUGUGAAACUUCUUGAGAACUCGGUCAACUUCUGAGAACAGGGUGCUAGACAUUUUUGACAUGUUUUAGCUAGUCAGCCUUUUUAUCCCUAUUCAGACAGCACCUCGCAGGGGAAGGGGCUCCAGGCGGGGAGAGUAGGGGAGGGGGUAGCAUGAGCUCUGCCACCCCCGCUCUGGGCCAUUUGUAGGAUGUAACGGUUGCACUCCAUCCUGGUGGUGACUUUUCCCUCUGUUUGCACGUCGCACUCACCUGCAGAGCUCUUUAAAAAACCAAAGCCAGGCCCCAUUCGAGGCCCCUUAAAUCAGGUUGUCUUGCGUGGGGUCUAGGCAAGCGGUCUUUAAAAGCCCCCCCCCAGUGAUUCUAGUGGGCAUCCAAGGGAGAACCCUCAGACCUUAGUCUCACAGGCCCUCCCAGCUCUCCCAUCCCCCGUGUUGAUUGAAUUCUCAGAUGCUGCUGCGAGGUUCUUCCACGUCGGACUCCUAUUUGUCUUUGUUACUCCUGGGAAAGAAAUGUGUACUCAGGAGUGACAGGAGGAAACGUCUCAUCUUUGAAAUAUUUUUGAUCAUGUGUCGGCUUUGUAAACUCACCUGUAAAGGCCCUUUUAAGUAGCUAAUGGUGCUUAUGCAAAUGAAAUGCAUGACACUCCAUGGGACUCAGCUGCACUCUGCCAGGACCUGGGUGGGGAGCUUGUGGUGGCUGAUCUCAGGGCAGUGACAUGAAAGUCACUGGGCCAUGUGAUGAUAAACACACGAAGUGGACAUCUUGGGUUCAGCUGCACGCAUCCUCACGUCUUUCAGAAAUAGAUAUUCUAAGUCCACUAUGAUACAUAAAUUUACCAGUGUGUAAAUAGAAGCAGAUUUCUAUUUGGCGUUUGCAGUGAUGGCCAACCGUUUUCCUACCUGGCUUUGAACUAAAUUCUUUGGAAAUUCUCUGGUGGCUUCAGGAGGCAGAGAAGGAGAAACCCCUGGGUUUUUUUUUUUAUGUAUUUAGCGCUCUUUCAUGUUUUAUGAGAAUUCCUAGAAAAAGAUGGUGCGUGCCUUGGACCUAAAACUGCUUUUAAGAAGUCAGUGGGCUUAGGAUGGAAGGAUUGGGUUUCUUUAUCCCAUUCGAUUUUCCCUAAAUUUUACUCCAGUUUCAGCAAGAAUACUCCCAUCCGACUCUGACUUCUGUAUCCUUGGCAUACAUGUACUACAUAGCCAUGGAAAGACUAACGGGAGAGGUGACACCAUCAAAACACGGUUUCUCCAACACCAUUAUUUUUUUUUUACUUUGAAAAACAUUAUCAUGCUAUACCCAAAGGUGGGCUGAUGACACCUUUAUAUGAUGAUAGAACAAGGGAAGAGAAAGACCAAGGAAUGGGAUUGUUCAAAAUGUCUGAACACUUGAUGUAAACUUGGUAUCAGUGUUUUCUUUUUAAAGCAAAGUGAUAUAACACAGUGUUUGUAAAUGUGUCAUUUAAAGUCAUUGGGGCAAUAAAUAUCUAUGCAACAAUGUUGUAACUAUUAACUAUUAGACUUUUCACUGGAACGAGGACACGUCCUGCCUCUGACAGAGAGCGGAGGAUGAGUUAUGGACCAGAUACAGUGGGUUUGAACUAGGACCCUGCCACCCACUGGCUGUGCUAGCUUGGCACAGCACACUUACCUUUCUUAGUCUCAGUGUCUCUAUUGGAAAGGUCAGGGGAUGCGUGGACAUUAAUGAGUUAGCGCAUGUUUCCUAAAGCGCUCGGCACAUAUUCGUGCUCUGUGAUGUUGGAAACGCCCCUGUCCCCGCACCUCUUUGAAAAUGCCCAGAUGCAUUUCAGUGCCACAGUGGGGCAUGCACCACCGACCUGAGUUGGAUGAUAAGAUGAUCUCCCGAAGUUCAGGUUUGCACAACCAACGUUUGAUGGAGAGGCGGGGACGGAGUUUGGGUGUCACUGGCAAAGGCGAUGGACGAGGCUUGCGAGUUCCUUUUGGCAGAACCUUCCCGCCUCCUUCUUCCAGGAUGAAGCCUGAGCUGAUAGCACAUGGAAGCUGUGACGCACAGACAUCAAUUUGAAAACUGUGUGUUCCCACUGGAUCCCAAAUGCACAAUAACUCUACAACUUGCGAGCGCAUGAAUCUAACAGGACUCCUCUAUUAUACGUCUCCAUUCAUGAACACAAGGGUCAGAAUGUUCAUAGUCCAAGUUCAGCCUCUCUCUUCACUUAGAAGCACUGGUUUCCAUGGGAGUGGUCUGGCCACUUGAGAGGACCCCCUUCCUUUUGGAGGUUCUUCAGCAGGACCCUCCCUUGGGUGCUGGAGCAAGGGCUGUCACCCAACCCCUGCCUGCAGUGGAAUGAGCAACCAGCCCUUGGAGACACUCGUCAGAUUCCCGACCAUGUUAAUUGGGUUCAACACUCCUUCUGGGUUUUCAAGAUGUGUAACGAUUGCUCAAUCUUGUGUAAACUAGGCUGACAUUUUCUCUUGUUACCAAGAUGUAUUUUUCUAUGUUAGUUAAA